UAUUUUCAGUCUGUAUAGGUAAAAAUAAAAAGAAAAUACCAAGCGCUAAUGUUGUUUGAAGAUGAUGAAGAAGUCUCUGCUGACACCAUCUUGCUUGUAUAAGAUGUUUAUUACAAAAUAAAACAGUAUCAUAUCAAGCACCAUGUAAUACCUGAGACGGGAUCCGUGCCAAUUCUGAAGUGUCCCCUUCAGAGCAGUAUAACCAACUGCUUAUAUAGGGUGGUUGUUUUCGAAAAAGGAAACAGAACAUAUGGUCCUUUUUACAAUGAUCUCAUAUAUCUGGAACUAAGAGAGGAAGGGAGAGGAAGGGAAAGGGGCCUUGACCUUUGGACCAGGGGCCCCCUAACUUAAACAUUCCAAACCUGCAAAUUCAGAUAACACAUGGAACUCUAGAUGCCACACUAAUUAAAUUUUUGAGCAAAAAAUGGUCAAAUUCAUACAGUUAUGAAAAUUCUGUUAGCAUUGAACAUGUCAAGGCCUAGGGCCUCCUGAAAAUAACAACAUAGGGCAUAUGUAACUGUCUUGUAAAUACCAAAAUAGACAAAAUUACAUUAGGGUUGCAGGAGGUAAAAACAUUCACUUACAAACAAACACACACACACACACACACACACACACACACACACACACAUGCACACCUACACACAAUUAUCAGAUUUAACAACCAAAAGCAAUCACAACACAAAAGCAAAGUCCAGAUGUGUUAAGAGCGAAUUAUUGGGCCCUGUGGACUUCUGGACUUCAUGAACGCAUGACUCCUCUCAUAUCACAUUGUUCUGGAUUGACACUGCUUGAUCUGACAUUAAAACUUGACAGCACACAGAAGUCUACAGACUUACCAGGAUCACACACUGUACAGCUAAAGCAGUCUGCAAAGGUUCAUCAGUGUUCAGUGUCCCCAACCUGGCAACCUGCGUGAGCAUCGAGUCUGGUGAGGAGGGGAGACAACUCUCUCCAAUAUUUUGGAUUUGGACUGCAGUAUCCAGUUUAAACGCUUGGUGUUAAGGUUGUUGAGUGCCAUGUUUUAAAGGAUUCUGUGGCAUGUUCUAAGUCUCUGGUGAAGAAUGUCCACUGUAAAAGAGAAGCCAUCAUAAAAGCUCUUUGUCUGCACCUGAAUGAUGAUGGAUUUCUUAUCAAGGAGUACAGGGACAUUCAUGGUGAAGACAUAUUGAGAGACCAGCACAGCACUGAAAUGGACAUUUAUGUCAUCAGAAGAGGGUGGAGCUCUUGGAGAAUAUGAAGAUGGUCAUGCUGAUGGAAACAUUAUUGUAGGAAACAUCAAAUCAGUUGCACCAGACUGCAGUAAAGCUUGGAGUAAUUUAUGCACUGAAUAUGGCUCAUCACAAUGGGUGGAAAUGCUGCUAUGAAUUUGUACAUUCCUUAUGCCAAAGGAUGGUGCAAAGCUCUCCCCUAAUAUUCUUGGUUUGGAGAACAAAAUCGUGGGAUAGUCAAAGUAGGCUGUCCAUUCUGGAAAUAUAUGGAACUUUUCACACUAGCUUCUGCUUUGAUUGAAAAGCAAUGGGCUUUUGAACAAAUCUUAAGUCACAUAAAACAAAAUUCAGUGACAUUUCAAUGGUUUUCUAUACAAUAUGUCAAGAUCCUUGUCAUGUUUAAGAUCAAUUUGUCUUAAAACAGCAUGCAGUUAAAUUUUAGUCUUUUUUGCUAAAGCUGUACAAAGUAGCCUUUUGAACAAUUUGAGCUCCAAAUUUUCACCCCAAAUUUGCAUAGUCUAACAAGCAAAAUAAGGUUGUGCUAACUAGAGGCAGUGCUUUGACAAGAAGGCUGUACUCUGUAGGCACCUAUUUCUGGGGCAUUAUUUUGAUCAUUGAUGACAAUUGGAUAUUGUAUAAAGUCAUAUAACAUUAAUACUGUGUUAUUGUGCUGUUCUAUUUUUUUAAAUAUCUGCUGUUGUAAAGUUGCACUUAAGGUUGGUGUUAUUACAUAAUUACUGAUGUUACUUCAUUGUUUCACAAAUUCUGGGCCAUUACUUAAGACUUAAUUAAUUGUGAUUAAAGGCACACACAUUUAGGUGAAUGUGUUUAUAAUUGCAGUGUUCUGUUUGAAGCUUAUUGUUGUAUGUAAAGUUGCAUUUUAGCAACUUGCCUGCAAGACAAGCAAUAAUAUAUUGAUAGCAGUGCACUUUUAGAGAAGUAUUUAGUCUAUUUUUUUACUAGUCUGCUUUAUUUUGU